rnacentral:rRNA from 1 species
GACGAACGCUGGCGGCGUGCCUAAUACAUGCAAGUUGAGCGCUGAAGGUUGGUACUUGUACCAACUGGAUGAGCAGCGGACGGGUGAGUAACGCGUGGGUAAUCUGCCUUUGAGCGGGGGACAACAUUGGGAAACGAAUGCUAAUACCGCAUAAAAACUUUAAACACAAGGUUUAAGUUUGAAAGAUGCAAUUGCAUCACUCAAAGAUGAUCCCGCGUUGUAUUAGCUAGUUGGUGAGGUAAAGGCUCACCAAGGCGAAGAUACAUAACCGACCUGAGAGGGUGAUCGGCCACAAUGGGACCGGGACACGGCCCAAAACCCUAAGGGAGGGAGCAGUAGGGAAACUUCGGCCAAGGACGAAAGUCUGACCGAGGAAAGCCGCGGGAGGGAAUGAGGGUCUCGGGUCGGAAAACUCUGUUGGUAGGGAAGAAAGUAGGGGGGAGUGGAAAGCGCAUGAAGUGACGGUAACUACUCAGAAAGCGACGGCUAACUACGUG